GAUGAACGCUGGCGGCGUGCCUAAUACAUGCAAGUCGAGCGAACGGACGAGAAGCUUGCUUCUCUGAUGUUAGCGGCGGACGGGUGAGUAACACGUGGAUAACCUACCUAUAAGACUGGGAUAACUUCGGGAAACCGGAUCUAAUACCGGAUAAUAUUUUGAACCGCAUGGUUCAAAAGUGAAAGACGGUCUUGCUGUCACUUAUAGAUGGAUCCGCGCUGCAUUAGCUAGUUGGUAAGGUAACGGCUUACCAAGGCAACGAUGCAUAGCCGACCUGAGAGGGUGAUCGGCCACACUGGAACUGAGACACGGUCCAGACUCCUACGGGAGGCAGCAGUAGGGAAUCUUCCGCAAUGGGCGCAAGCCUGACGGAGCAACGCCGCGUGAGUGAUGAAGGUCUUCGGAUCGUAAAACUCUGUUAUUAGGGAAGAACAUAUGUGUAAGUAACUGUGCACAUCUUGACGGUACCUAAUCAGAAAGCCACGGCUAACUACGUG
rnacentral:rRNA from 1 species